GAUGAAGAACGUAGCGAAAUGCGAUAAGUAAUGUGAAUUGCAGAAUUCAGUGAAUCAUCGAAACUUUGAACGCACAGUGCGCCCGUCAGUAUUCUGGCGGGCAUGCCUGUUCGAGCGUCAUUACGCCCCUCAAGUCCCCUGUGGACUUGGUGUUGGGGAUCGGCGAGGCUGGUUUUCCAGCACAGCCGUCCCUUAAAUUAAUUGGCGGUCUCGCCGUGGCCCUCCUCUGCGCAGUAGUAAAACACUCGCAACAGGAGCCCGGCGCGGUCCACUGCCGUAAAACCCCCCAACUUUUUAUAGUUGACCUCGAAUCAGGUAGGACUACCCGCUGAACUUAAGCAUAUCAAUAAGCGGAGGA
rnacentral:misc_RNA from 1 species